rnacentral:rRNA from 1 species
GCUUAACACAUGCAAGUCGAGGGGCAGCAUGGUCUUAGCUUGCUAAGGCCGAUGGCGACCGGCGCACGGGUGAGUAACACAUAUCCAACCUGCCGUCUACUCUUGGACAGCCUUCUGAAAGGAAGAUUAAUACAAGAUGGCAUCAUGAGUCCGCAUGUUCACAUGAUUAAAGGUAUUCCGGUAGACGAUGGGGAUGCGUUCCAUUAGAUAGUAGGCGGGGUAACGGCCCACCUAGUCUUCGAUGGAUAGGGGUUCUGAGAGGAAGGUCCCCCACAUUGGAACUGAGACACGGUCCAAACUCCUACGGGAGGCAGCAGUGAGGAAUAUUGGUCAAUGGGCGAGAGCCUGAACCAGCCAAGUAGCGUGAAGGAUGACUGCCCUAUGGGUUGUAAACUUCUUUUAUAAAGGAAUAAAGUCGGGUAUGGAUACCCGUUUGCAUGUACUUUAUGAAUAAGGAUCGGCUAACUCCGUGCCAGCAGCCGCGGUAAUACGGAGGAUCCGAGCGUUAUCCGGAUUUAUUGGGUUUAAAGGGAGCGUAGAUGGAUGUUUAAGUCAGUUGUGAAAGUUUGCGGCUCAACCGUAAAAUUGCAGUUGAUACUGGAUAUCUUGAGUGCAGUUGAGGCAGGCGGAAUUCGUGGUGUAGCGGUGAAAUGCUUAGAUAUCACGAAGAACUCCGAUUGCGAAGGCAGCCUGCUAAGCUGCAACUGACAUUGAGGCUCGAAAGUGUGGGUAUCAAACAGGAUUAGAUACCCUGGUAGUCCACACGGUAAACGAUGAAUACUCGCUGUUUGCGAUAUACAGCAAGCGGCCAAGCGAAAGCGUUAAGUAUUCCACCUGGGGAGUACGCCGGCAACGGUGAAACCCAAAGGAAUUGACGGGGGCCCGCACAAGCGGAGGAACAUGUGGUUUAAUUCGAUGAUACGCGAGGAACCUUACCCGGGCUUAAAUUGCAGAUGAAUUACGGUGAAAGCCGUAAGCCGCAAGGCAUCUGUGAAGGUGCUGCAUGGUUGUCGUCAGCUCGUGCCGUGAGGUGUCGGCUUAAGUGCCAUAACGAGCGCAACCCUUGUUGUCAGUUACUAACAGGUUCCGCUGAGGACUCUGACAAGACUGCCAUCGUAAGAUGUGAGGAAGGUGGGGAUGACGUCAAAUCAGCACGGCCCUUACGUCCGGGGCUACACACGUGUUACAAUGGGGGGUACAGAGGGCCGCUACCACGCGAGUGGAUGCCAAUCCCCAAAACCUCUCUCAGUUCGGACUGGAGUCUGCAACCCGACUCCACGAAGCUGGAUUCGCUAGUAAUCGCGCAUCAGCCACGGCGCGGUGAAUACGUUCCCGGGCCUUGUACACACCGCCCGUCAAGCCAUGGGAGCCGGGGGUACCUGAAGUGCGUAACCGCGAGGAGCGCCCUAGGGUAAAACUGGUGACUGGGGCUAAGU